GGGGCCGGGCUGAGGUGAAAGAUGGCUCUGUCGCGGGGGCUGCGGUGCUGUCAGCGGGCGUUCGCCUGGCUGCCCGUCCUCAUCAUCGCCCUCGUCGUCCUCUGGUCUUACUACGCCUACGUCUGCGAGCUGUGCUUGGUGACUCUGAGCAACCCUGUGGAAAAAGUGGCCUAUCUUAUAAUAUUCCAUAUUCUCUUUGUGCUCUUUGUGUGGACAUAUUGGAAGUCUAUUUUUACUCUCCCGGUACAGCCAGGCAAAAAGUAUCAUAUGUCCUAUGCUGACCAAGAACGCUAUGAAAAUGAAGAAAGGCCGGAGGUGCAGCGGCAAAUUCUCGCCGAAAUUGCAAGGAAGUUGCCAGUCUACACCAGGACGGGGAAUGGAGGUAUUCGAUUCUGUGAUAGAUGCCAGCUAAUAAAACCCGAUCGUUGUCACCAUUGUUCCGUUUGUGCUAUAUGCGUGCUAAAAAUGGAUCAUCACUGUCCGUGGGUGAAUAACUGCAUUGGAUUUUCUAACUACAAAUUCUUCCUGCUGUUCUUAGCCUAUGCUUUGUUGUAUUGCUUGUAUAUUGCCGCAACAGUCUUCAAGUAUUUCAUUAAGUAUUGGACAGGUGAACUGACUAAUGGACGUUCCAAAUUUCAUGUCCUAUUCCUUCUCUUUGUGGCGGUCAUGUUCUUCGUGAGCCUUAUGUUUCUGUUUGGCUACCAUUGUUGGCUCGUUAGUAGAAACAGAUCUACUUUAGAGGCUUUCUCAGCUCCAGUGUUUCAAAAUGGCCCAGAUAAAAAUGGAUUCAAUCUUGGCUUUGUAAAGAACCUUCAGCAAGUGUUUGGAGAAGAAAAAAAGCUCUGGUUACUACCUAUUGCCUCUAGCCAGGGCGAUGGACAUUUUUUCCCAAUGAGAGCUUUGUCUGAAGCUCAGAAUCCUCUCCUAGCAAAUGAAGAGCAGUGGGAAGAUGAUGGAAUAGAUGAAGAGCCUCAUGGUAAGGUAACACUAAAGGCAAUUAGUUGUGUCUUGACCCACAGUGAUUAAUGGACAAAUUAUAAGAGCUAAUCAAAUAAAAAAAUUGUGUUGGCUCAGUCACUGGGCAGCUCAGACUUGACUAAUGAACAUAGACUAAAAGUAAGCCCUACUUUAGAGUCAACUCUUUUUUUUUUUUUUUUAAGUAGUAGAAGUAUCUGUAAACUUGCAAGGAAAUGAACUGUGAGGUUGUUACAAGUCGCAGAGAGAAACUGAAAUUUCCACAAACUGAGUGUAUUUAUAUGUAAAUGUUGCUCCAUGCAGCACAGUUACUGGAGACAUAAAGUUGUGCCUGUAAAAAUGAAGAGGAAGAUUUAUUUUUUUUUAAGUGUACGUAUCCUCUGAGAGUUUGUGAAGGCAUGCAUGAAAACACCUGAAUGCAGUCAUACAUUUAUGAAGCUACUUUCUACUUUGUUCAGCUUUAUUACAAGAGUAAAGAAGUUCAUUUGGUUGUGAUACUUGCCUAGCUAUGUGCUAAUCUGCACAGAAGGAAUGUAUGUGCUGAGAACAAUUCUUUCUGAAAUGUAAACAUACCUUUUAUGCUGUGGAUGUCCUGUUAGAAAAAAGACUUUAUACGUAUAUCCAUUCUGUGAUGAUUUUUAUUAGAUGGAUCUAAAAUUAGUUUAAUGAUUCUUUACUGUUACAUUUUUCUGUUUGAGCUAGAUGUUGUUUUUUCCCUUGCGUAUUUGCCUCCAAGCUUUGGUCUUUGGAGAGUACGCUGUGUAUCAGGGUUCAUGUCAGAGACCCCAGUUACCAUGUUUGAGGGUUCAGAAAUCCCAUCAGUAAGUUAAGGGCUCGUACAUUUUUCCUGUGGAGCCAGGAUGCCAUCCACAGGUUCCCUUUUUAUAUAUAUAUAUAUAUAUAUAAAAUAUAUGAUAAUAUAUCCCUGUUGGGGUAUACAUUUUAGUCACGUGCACAGUGUAUGUUUGGGAAGCUGUGAGGAAGACUAUGGUCUUGGUUAAAAGGGGUAACAGAAACUUCUUGUGUGAACAUUUUUACAUAUGUGCAAUGUACUGUGCAAUGAGCUCUUGAAUCCUAACAGCACAGUAUUUGCUGUUCAGGCUCUGGUUAGGUCUUACCUGCAGCUGUUUCUUCAAAUUAUUCCAAUGUAGAAUAAACAGUCUGUGUGUCUUCCAAGGCACCCCUCAUGUACCGCUGGGAAAAUGUGCUCUCCAGGAUUUUGUCAAUAGGAUUUAAAAGGCUCAUUCCAACUUUUCUUCAGAAUAACUGCUUUAAUUAGUUCAUAAUUGUGUGUUAGAAAACUACCUGUUCUUCCUGUUUCAUUCUAUACAUUUUGGCAGUUACAGGAUAACACGAACUGGCUUCAAAAAUAACAAAAUCUUUGUUGUUUAUUGAUGCUUAAAACAAUUCCUCUAGGAAUGAGUCAGAACUUCUUCCAGCUCUUCCAAAGUAUAAAUUCUCUGAAUAAAAAAUUAAUUCUUAAGUAUGAAAACGUUUGACAGCGAGAUGAUUUUUGGCCACAUCAGACCCCAGAAUCUGAAUCUGGAGUUUAUAUGAAGUCUCACAAUUUAUAGGGCUUAUAAAAUAAAUGACAUUUACAGGCAGUUGGACUAGAUGAUCUUUGUAGGUCCCUUCCAACUGAAAUAUUCUAUUCUACUAGUCUUUCUCAGUGAAAAAAUAGUUUGUAAUCUUAUUCCAAGAAGCUGUAGAACUGUAAUAUUGGUAAAAUUAGAAUCUCUUACUGUGGUGUAAAAGCCAAACUGAGCCUCUAGGAGGUUACAGACAAAAAUGACAGAACAGGCAGCACACACGCUGUGAGUAGAUGGCUAGCUGUUAGUAUGUGGGUCUGAGUCCAUGACUGGAGGAGUUUUAAUUUUUUUCCAGUGGCUGUGAGGUAAAGGUGGGAACUACAAAUAAAAGAACGCCCUAGAUAAGGGGACUGUGUCCUUCGUCUGUCUGCAGGUCGGUGAUGUGGAACUGGAAUCCAGCUCCUAGAGCAGGCGUUGGGGGAAAUCCGCUUCCCCUUAUUUUUCUAACAAACUCUCAGCUCUCAGUCUGACCAUCCGAAUUUUGCAAGAAGAAAUCCCGCGUGGAGCCUGGCGGGGGGGAGUGUGUGUGGGUGGGAGGGGAGGAAGCUGUCGCCCCCCCUCCCGGUCCCUGGAUGCUCCUGUGGCGGGUGCCGCAGGGCCGGCAGCGCCUGCCGCCGAUCCAGCGCCGGGAGCGGAGCGCUGCACGGAGCAUUCCUCGGCCAGCUCCACGGCAGGGCAGGGCUGCCCGAGUCUUGCACUCUGCGAGUGCCCUGGCUCUGCAGGACCAGCAGGGAGGGUCACGAUUGAUUCAGUAAUCACAGGAUCGUUUGGAUUGGGAAAGCCCUUGAAGAUCAUCGAGUCCAACUGUAUAACAUACAAAAUGUUUUUUGAGAAAGUAGUUUUGUGAUACAGCAUAAAUCAAUCUCAUGGAGCGUUUUCCCUAAGCUGUAGGCUGUACCAUUCUGCCAGCACAGGUAACAAAUACCUGUGUAUCAUUAGGUUAAUAUAAAAGUUGUUGAGGGAGGGGGAGUUCUAUAAGAAAAGGCACCAGGUUUGGAUUUUUUUCCUAUUAAUGGGACGUUAGGCAAAGCAACAGUUGAGAAAACGUGAAAGUUCAGAUAUUUCAAUCUUAGGAGAUGGCACUGCCAGCUGCUCCAAGAUCCGAAUAAUAUCUGCCCUUUGUAUUUAGUGGGGUUUCUCACCUCCGGGAGUUUCACCUGUAAUUGCUGGUGUGCCUGUGUGAUGCAGCAGGGGUGAGGAGCAGCCUCAUCAGUCGAGUCCCUCGCUCCAGGCUCAUGCAGAAGAGAGAGAAACACCACAGAAAUGAUGAAAAAAUGAGCUUGAUGAAAUGUUUCUUUGUGUACUGUUACUGUGCCUAACUGCAUUACUGCAGUCCUUUGCUUCCACCCUGAUUAUUCUGUGUCUGCAUAAGGUGGGGCAUUUUUAAGCUCCCACGAUUGCAAAAUCAGCUCACAUGUGGAUGUUGGGGGAGAAUCAUGAGGAGAGGACAAGCCCAGCUGAAAGCAAGGAGAUGAGGUAGCUCCAUCCAGGUCCCAUGAGAGUACAGACCAUCUUCUCAGUCACCUUAUCCCCAGGGUUGUCCUUUUUUCUGUAAUGCGGACGUUUAAAUGGGCUGUUCCUGGUUGGAUUUUCUUUUUUUUCUUAAUCCUAGCCUUGCUAAGGCUUUUAUUGUUUCAUCUAGGGAGAAAAAUCUUGUGUGGAACCUUUUGUUUCAUUUCUUAGCCAGAGACUGAAAAUGCUUGCUUCCAAAUUAGUCGUAAUUUGAAUUUUUUUCAGAUUUAUUAAUGCUCAUCUCUUAUUCACAGGCAUCUGUUGAAUCUGUCUAGCCAGUGAGCUACCCCAGAAUCACAAGCUGGCAGCUUAUAAGGUUAUCAGUUUUUUCAAAGAACUCAUCUAGAAUGUAUUUGACAUGCUGGUCAUGGGGGUGGCAGUGCACACUUUGCCUCGUGGAGCCUAGGACAGGACAGCCAUUCCUGUACAUUUAUAGCAACAUCUCAUCUCUUAGGUUGAUUUAUUAAUUUAAUCGUGCGUUUCAUUUAAACUUGUAAGAAAGGCUUCAGUAUGAAUCAAAUCUUUCCCAAACUGUUCUCACCUUUAAAAAUUUGACAUCUGUACGAAGUAACAUCUUUCCAGCAGAAACCAGCAUAUCCUGUGGAAUAGGUGGCAGUUGAGAUCUCUUGGUGUGAUGAAGCUUCAGGUAUCUGGAGGCACGUGAUUUGAAUUUAAAUUCAAGUCAGUAGGAGUCUAAUUAAAAAAGCUUCAUGUCCUGAGAUACCAGCUAAGUUGGCAUAGCAGUCCCUUAAGUAGAGAGGUCACCAGUUGUGACUGUAGGGAUUGAACUGCCAUCCAUGGAGAUGUUUAAAAAGCAGUUUGGAUGUUGGAAGUGAGCAGAGGUUGCUCAGACAGUACGACGGUGUAUUGGCCAAUUCAGUAAACUGAGACAAAAGACUAGGUUUGCAUCUCUGGAUUUUAGGAACAAUAUAAAUGGUUAAAGCGUGUCUGACAGUAAAAGAUUAAGUUAAAGCAGUGCUAAACCCUACAUCGAUGAGUGCUGUCUAACCAGUUUUGAAACAAUGGGGUACCUGUGCAGGAACCUGCAUCAGUUCAACUAAAUUAAUUAGUGAAUAUAUUUAGUAGAACGAAUAUGGUUUUGUAUGUGGAUCAGACCUGCAGCUGCUGAAUCCAUUAGAUGAAAAAAGAUAUUCCAUAAAAAGCUGAUAGAGAAAUUUCAGUGGGACUAAUGUCCCUGAGCCAGCAGGUCCUAUAUAUCCUUUUAUCAGUUCCCUUUGACAUUUGGAUUGUGUGCUUUCCUAAAGGUAGGCAGAGUAAAGGGCUGCUCGGUGGAACGUUCCAUCUGAAUAAAUGUAUUAGAUUUUGCAUGGUAAAAUAGAUGUCUAUGCUAAUAAUUACAAAAAUAACCUGAUAAUGGAAAUAGGACUGAUUCUUUUUAUACAUAAUAAGGAAAUAAGAGGCCUAGGCAAAUUUAUUUGUUGUGUAUGUAACAUUGAGUGGUGAGGGGGAAGUGUUUGCUUUUUGUUUGUCUUUAUUUACCUGCACAGAGAAAAUUCAUUUGGAGAAAAUUAAAGAAAGUUCUGUGACAAAUUGAUAUUUGACACUGCUUGAUGCCAUUCUUGCAUUUUGACCAUCAUGUCUUACAACGAGUUCUGGAUCUUAAAACUGAACAGCACAAGAUCAGUGUAAGAUGUCUACAGAGCAACACAGUUUUGAAAUCCUGUUUGUGACAGGCAUGGGAGCAACUCUGGAAGUAUGAAUUUGGGAACUGGAUCUUACUUCUGUAGCUGCUGCAGAUUUUUGAAUUUUUUUUAUAGGACAGUGCAUUUCACUUAACCGUGUUUUGCAGGGAGGAAACACAGCAUGGUAACCUUCCUGUCUCUCAGGUGGGUUAUGAAGAUAAAUUUAUGCAUAGAAAUUGCUUUGAGUUUCUGGGUUAUUAGUUGCUGUAACAAUACAGAUCUACAGUAGAGCAAAAUGUUGUUGCCUACGAUCAGCAGGAUGCUGUUCCCACUGAACAUGAGGUAUGAGCUGCCUUCAGGCCAGUUGUCAUUUUAAACAGUCCCCACAUAGUUGCAGGCUGCUGUUAGACUGACCUCGAGCUUCCCCUUCAUCAGAUGGAACAAGCCCAACUGCCUCAACCUCCCUGCGUAGGUUUAAAGUAGAAAUUUCUGUGCUGCUUAUAUAUGGCUUAAGUCUGACCUCCACAGCUUUCAGUUUUCCAAGAUUUGGGCUGAAACUGUGUGUCUUCAUGGGAAAAAUGACCUUUUUAUUUUGCAAGUGAAAAUGCUUAGGAAUAAUCUUACCAUGAGUGUGUGAAAUAUAUAACCAUGUAUUUCUACCAUGGCUGUAUUAAUCCAACAGUACUCAGAGAACACGGUUUCCUGGGUCAUUAAGCUUUGGUGCCCUCGCACCCACCUGGCAGUUGGGUUUUAGAAGACUGUGUUGUAGGCACAAAUGUGGCACAACGUAGGCAGUGUUGUACUCUUCCUUGUUUUCUCACCACUGCUUUUUUUUUUUUUUUUUUUUUUUUUUUUUUUUGUGUAAGGCAUCAGCAAAUGAAGCAAUUUAAGCUUAGUGUUUUCAGAUUCCAUCUUACACAACAGAAGUCAACCAGUUUAAUUUUCUAACGGGAAAGGCCUGAGAUAUUCCAUUAAAACCAAAAGAUCUUUAUGGCUUUAAAGCUUGUGACGCUGUUAUGAAAUAGAUAAAGCCAAUAAUGGAGUAAUCUCAGUUUAAAAAAUGCUAUUCAGUUAUCUCUGGCAAGUGGUUGUCUAUUUUUAUUUGGAACGAUUCUUAAAAACACACUCCCUUACUUAGUGAAAAAUACAUUCUCGGCGAGGAGAACCAGCUUUACUUACUUCUAACUGCUUUGUUUUUCAUUGUAUAGAUUCUGGUGAAGCUUCAUCCCUUGCCAUAGAAAGGGAGACAUAGCAGUUUCACAAUGCAGCGGUACAAAGCUUGUUCAAAAAGCAUCCCUCUCAGGAGUCAACAUCCCUUCUCUUGGCAUGGGCUUCAGUUUUGAGGGGCAGAAAACAAGUGGAUCUUCAAGAUGAGAAAACAUCAUGAAGUAUCGUCUGAUUGGAACCUGCAUUCUAGAGUGCUUCUCCAGAAAUCCUGCUAUCCAGAUGUUUCAAGGCUUUAUAAGUUUAAGUUACGGAGUGAAAAGAACAGUUUUAUAGAGUGAUUCUGGCCAAUCUUCUUUGGCCUGCUCUCUUUAUUUUAUAAAUAAUAUAUAUUUUUUAUUCAAAAUAGGUAAAAAUAUUGAUGCGAGUGCAUUUCCAAAGGCCUUUUCAUUUUGCAAACAUCAGGGACUCAAGUUCUUGAAAUUCCUCCAAGCCAUAAUAUUCUUGGGGAUGGUAUUUAUUUUGAGACUGAUUCUCCAACCUUCUCUGACAAGUGGCAUUCUCUAAUGUGUUUAAAGAUCUGUCUGAGUCAGUGGAACUCACUGAGAGACAGACCUACUUAAAUUUGGCACUAAACUGAUAGUUGGAUGUGUGUUGAGAGGAAAAAUGCUGAACAUGCAUAUAUACAUGUGCAGCUGUGUAUGAAAAUACAAUAUUCACAUUGCCAGUGUCAAGAUUCAAGAAUAUUGUGGCCAUACAUUUUUUUUUAAAAAUGUUCUAGGAAGGUGUAAUUGUCUUAGAGUUUGAGUGCCCUUUAAAAGCCCAAUCCUCCUUGCAGGCACCUAAAAUGCAAAAGGGAACUGUAGACAGUACAAUUUGCAUUAAUUCCUAGGGCUACAAUAUGAACUCAUUCCUGGAUCAGUGUUUGAUGGAAAUUUGUGUGUUUAUGGAGUCAGAAGGGAAGAUGUAAAUUCGAAACACAUGAGUUGGAAACGUGCACUGAAAGUUUAGCUCCAACAGCAGUGUUGGGAGUUUACACUCCACAAAGGUGGGUUUAGUCCAGUAAUGGUCAAGAGACAAUUGUUGUACUGAAUUGUUUCAGACUUCUGCCUACGUAAAUGUAUUGACUGGUCAUUUAAAGGUUUUUUCAGCACUAAGAGGUGAUCAGAUUUUUUCUUCGUUUUGCUCCAUUUGCAGUCAAAGGAAUGUAUCGCUGUUUUCAUUCUGUGGAAUGGAACUGAGAAUUUGCUGGCAGGAUUAUACGUAUUUUUCUAGACCUGAGUCUUUUUUUAUCUGCAUGAUUCAGAGCUGGCAACUCCAUCACUCAUGUUUUAAUUAGGUGCAUGCUUAAAGUAUUAGUACACUGCCUUUAAGAUCAUUUGUUACCAUUUUCUAUCCUGGUUUUGUGUUUGUUUAUCAGCCCAUUUGUGCUGACAGUGACCACAGAAGCAGUUGCGCAUGUCCUGAGAAAUUACCUGAUAAGUAUCUCUUUGGUGACAAAGGCCUCGCUUACAUACUAAAUCCUUUUUUCCUCUGCUUAUUCUGCCACAGCUACCAGUGGCCAUGUGCUCGUGAAAGAGAAGAGUCUUGCAGAGAUUUUCUGUCCAUAAGAGUAGACGUUUAACUACCUGGUAUACCCCCUGCCCUGCGGGCAGGUAUUUUAUCCAUCAGCCUCUGUAGCUGGGUGUGGGGCAGGCAGUGACCUCUCUGGGAUGUCUUGUUGCUGAAAUUUAGUGGUCAGGAGUCGGGGUGGGCUCUCCUGGGCUUAGUGUAGGUUACUCUCUCCUCAGAGCGGUACUGAACACGCUGAAUGUUCCUGCUCCAGCCACUCUGAGCACGUCUGUCGGGUGGUUCCGGCAUCAAACGGCUGCUGAGUGAUGAAACUAUUUUCCCUGUUGAUCCAAACCUGCGUUUCUGGUGUAAAUCUCGUGGUGGACCUUAAGCUGUGCUUGAUGAAGGGUGGCAGCAGAAUUAAUCUCCUCGUUUCUGGCCAGAUGUGUUCUGGAGGGGGAUCUUGAGAGGAAGAUGGCAGCUAAACACAAGAGGAAUUGUAUAGGAAUUUAGUACCAACAGAGGUGCUAUUCGUGCCUUUUAAAACUCGAACUUCCUCGUGUAAACAGGAAGAAGAUUUGGUGACUUUCUGUGUCAGUCAGUUGAAGAGGAUUUCUAAGAUCAAAGUAUCAGAGCUGUGUCGGCAGCCGUGUGGGUUUACAGGGGCUUUCUGAGCAGGUUCUUGUCUCCGCUCUGGAUUUGGUUCUGUUUACAGCCGUGUCAUUCUCUCGGUGUCAUUUCUCUGCCAAGUGGCAGCAGCAGAAGAGCUACAGGGUCUGCAGGCAGUAUCCCUGCCUGCUGGCUAGCUGCAGCACUGCUCAUUAGGUAGCAUAUAAAAUCAGGUUUUGUCUUCUAAUUAGUAUUAAAACAGAUGUCUUUAUGAUAAUGCCGCAAUCCAGCUCAGACUUAGAAACAGCCUUGAAGGUUUCCGAGUAACUUACUCUUGCUCAGUAACUUUUCUGUUAACUCAUGGUUGAUUUUUCCCUUUCCUUGAACGCGGCUCAGCCUCACGCGGUUGUAACUAACUCUUGUCCAGGUAGAAGCAAUACAUAGUUUGAGAGUGUCAGAAGCACUUCAGAUCAAUGUUCACACAUCAGAUGUUUGAAAGCUUCAGGAUGAAACGUGAAACAAAUACAAAAGUUGUGUAAAAAUGCAGCAGAACGAAAUGUGGAGAAACUGUCCGUCUGAGUGAGAGAACAAGCUCCAUUUUGUUCUCUCCAGCUUCCUUAGCAGAGAGAUCCUUAUGCUACGCCGGGCUUUUGUCCUGUUUGUGCUGCAUUCCAGUGCCACGGAAUAGUCGGGCAGGUUCCUCUGCAUCCCGGGGCUCGAGCGGGGUGCAGAAAGCUGCAGUGGGAGGUGGGUGUCCAGGAAUACAGCGUCAGGCUGGCGGUUGGUGGAGACAUUACGCCUCUGUGAUCUUCAAGGCACCACGUAAAUGAACAGCCAGAUCCCUGGGGGGAAACUUAAUGUUUCUCAAAGUACUGAUGCCGAGAUAUUUUUGCUCGGUGCAUUAUUGCAGCUGAUGCCGCAAACAUAAUUGCAGAUGGCCUACCAAGGAGAAUACAGUUUUUCCAAUCAGUAUUUUUGGCCUUUAAAAAGACUGUUAACUAGAGAUCUGGGCAGCAUAAGCGCAGUAAUUUUGAUUGUGCCCCCUGCUACCUGUGGUUUUAAAGCUGGGCUGCUAUUUACUUUUGAAAUUGACUUUUUUUUUUUUCCCCUUUAGCUUCUGAAAGAAAGUUGCGUACAAAGAAUGUGAUAAAUGCAGAAUGUGUAAAGUUCCGUUGGAUAUGCUGGGUAAAUGCACUGGAACGCAGCAAUUGCCCAGGCUGACUGUAGUCACUGCUGCAGGCAGCAGAAGAGGGGAAGUGUUCAGCCCAGGGUGUGAUAGUUUUCCUAACACGCAAACAGCUCUUUAAGGGGUAAAACCCAUUUCCACUUUCCCUGGUGCAGUCUGCAGGCUGGGCCCAAAGGAUUCCUCCCAUGACGUUUACUGCCAGUCUCUGUCGAGUUAGGUGCUGUAAAUCCAGUUACACCCAAAAAACUGGGUAAACCCCUAAGGGUUGAAUCUCAGUUGGGAUGCUGACUGAAGUGGUGUGACCGUAGUGCUCAUUCAGCUGGGGAGCCGCAGCCCCGGGCAGUGGGGAAGCAGCACAGCGGGUGUCUCAGCCCCAUCCCAGGGGCCGUUUUCUCUGGCUUAGCGUCAGAUGUGCGCUGCAGAAUCAAGCAGAAAAGAAAUGGUUUUCUACUCAGGGUAGAAACAGCUUUUGUCCUUAGCAGCAAUCCUACUCCUGGUGGAGCCGGCGGUGGAGAAGCUCCCGUAUUCCGAGCAGAGUGAUUUUGUUGGCUCGGCUUUGCGUGGCCGGGGGCGGUGGAUGUGGCUGCGGGCCGGAGCGCGCUCCUCACGGGCACGGCUGCUCUCGGGGCUGUUUCAGUGGGACCGUGGAAGCUGGAAUAGGACCACCAGAUCCCGUCUGUAAUUCUACCAACAGUCGUCAGCCGGGUGGUGAUAAUUACGGCCUGAGCGACAGAGGCUCACCAGGGGUGUUGGGCACAGCCGUGGUUUUGUUGGCUUCAGCCAGGGCACAGAAGUGAGGGUUUAACCCGGGUACAGCACGUUCUGCUUUGCCUUUGGCCCGUGUGUUGUUGUGUUUCAGCAUUUUACAAAUGCGCUCCACGUCUUUCAUGUGAGUGAGGGCUUUCUCUGCUACAAGCAGCUUUCCCAAGUGGCUGUCGCUGGGCGAAGGAACGGCUCUCGCUGGGUUUCACGGUGCUGCCUGCCGCUCGGUCUCACCCCUGCACCCCCAGGUUAAUGCUCCAGAAUAACUGACCACUAACAGCCACCUCCUCCCCUCUCCCCCUUCUCUCCCAUUUACAUUCAGAUACACUGUACUCCUGAAAAAAAAAAAAAAAAAAAUAGAGAAAACAUCAUAUUGAUGUUUCUAUGGAUAGUGUUGGGGUAAGCCCUUUCCUUGGCCAGUGAGUCCUGUCCAAGGAGUUGGGAGCUCUUUGAGCCUCACUGCACUGCAAUUUUGUUUUGUCUCUUGCUGAAUUUUUAGAGUAGAAUAAGAUUAUAUUCCUCUGAACAGGAAGCAGUACUGUCCAGUUUUCGUAGGCUGUACCUAGCGCGUGUCGUGCGCUGUCCGUGACAAGAACUGGGAAGCUCCCCAAUAGCACUCUAGCAGAGAGUGUUUUACUUCCCGGAACAAACCAGAAAUGUGAUUCGGCAAAAUCUAGGCUAGCUGCAGUUUUUUAGUUCUGUAUGCUGGUGUGAGCUGAAAGCACAACUUAGUUACCAAACCUGAUGCAUAAAGGCUGUAAUGUAAUAUGAAUGUGAAGUGUCAGGGGGAAAAAAAAAAAAUUACCUUUUCUUCCCCUUAGUUCAACAUAAAGAAGGAUGUGCUAAGAUUCAGGGACAGGCUGCCUCCGGCAUAGUCAUUACGCCAGCAGAACAGAUUUCUGUUGGCAGAGCUGGCUCACUGGUGGAGGCGGUGAAUUAGCAGGUGAAGGAGGCAGGGCUCACCUCGUUUAUUAAGCCAGAAUUACUUAACUCAGAGGGUCACGUUUUCAUUUCAGUGACUCCGGUGGUACAGAUUUUAGAAAUUGAUCCACAGUACUUGAAAAUACCUUGGUGUUCUUGAUAUUUUUCCGAUUCUGUCAGCUUCUGUUUUCUUACGGAACACUUUCAAAAAUAAACUCGUCCUGAACCCAUCAGGUAAAGCAUUUGCAUGGUAGAGUGGCUUUUCUCAUUAAAAGUAAUGGUCUGUCAAACUGCUUGGCAGCACCAGGCGCUGCGCAGCUGUGGCGUUACCCUCUGCUCUUCCUGCGUGAUGCUUUAUGUCCUUUCCUGGUAAUUAACGUGGAGAUCAUACCCACUGUUUCACAGUUUUAUUCUUCUUGUCCUUUUUCCGUCUCCCUUUCCAAGUCUUUCCUCUUCCUUCUUAAUAUAUAGUUAAAAUAUUACCAGCUUUCAGCUGUUUGUGCCAGUUUUUUGGAUACUAUGCAGGUGAGUAGGUGUCAUUUUAAGCAGUUGUGCCACGUAUUUUAUUUGUAACUAAUCUUAAUGUUUGUCAGGUAUUGGUUUGGGAGUCUCAUCAUUCAGGCUCAGCUUGCUUUGCCCAGAGCAGUGGGAUCUAACCCCCUGCCUUGCUUUUCUCUCUUCCCUAAAAAGCUGAUUUCCUCAUUUUCCAGCUUCAGUUUGGAAUUUAAACCUUGUGAAAUAAAAUGUAAGUUUACAUUUCAAGUAUGAGCCUGUAAGUUGGUUAUGCUUUCAUGCUGCUUGCAAUAUUUUUUUUCUGUAUGAGGUUUUAAGAUUUACAGUAGCAUUUGUAACACAUUAGUGGGCAACAGCCACUGUUUAAAAAAAAAAAAAAAAAAAAAAAAGUAGAAGAGUUAUGUGGAGGAAAAAAUCCCCACAGCCCCAACCAAAAAAAACCCAACGAAAAGGACAAAGGGAUCAUCUUUGCUUCUUUAUUCCAAUUGUGCUCAAAAAGAAAUGCCUGCUUGCAUCAAAUGCUGCUAUCGGAGAGCUCGUAUGGCAUGCAGGUGUUUCACCUGGAGGCAUUCCUGCUCUUUCAGUACUUUUUAGACUUGAAUUUUUCUUGAGCUAAACCUUGGGCUAAAUCCCACAGGAAGCCUGGAAACAAACAAACUUGUCCUCUCUCUUUCUGAACUGAGAAGGUCUCAGAUCAGCACUUACUUUUAUAAGAGAAAUGAAAAUCCAGUGGAUUUUUCAAAACGUUGGUGUAUUUUUUAAUUUUUUUUCCCCUGCCUUUUUCUGGAGGAUCCGGGGGCCUCUCGGAUAUGUGGGGAAGAGAAAUUCCACAUAUCAGCAUCUGGGGUAUGGGCUGAUGUAACGAACCGCCUGGGCCGGUGCGGACGGAGGGGCCUCCCCUGAGGAGGAGCUGCAGGUUUCUGACCAGGAGCUUGUGGGAGGAGGUAGGUGGAACCUGUUGUGCUGUUCAGAACUAACUCCACGCGUGGGCGUUCGGCAGUAACCCCGCUGAGGUGUGGCUCCUGCUGGAGAGGGCAGGAGCUCUUCCAGAGGAAUUCCUAAUUGCAGUGUUGGAGAAGGGAACUCAGCCUUCCUUUUGCUAGUGACUUAGAACACAAGAAAGGUUCUGUUAUUUUCUAAAUUAUUCUAUCUGUCUAGCUGGUUUUCCACCUGAAACUGACCCGUUUAUGUUUGUCGUGAAAACGGGUCCCUCAAAGAUAAAACUUAAUUAAAUCUCAGGCUCAGAUCAUGGCAGACCUAUCUGUAUGUUAGAAUUCAGCAUCAGAGCUUGGUUUUCACCUCGCUUGAAGGUAGAGUGAGCGGGUUCCGCUCCCUGGUGUUUUGGCAGGAAAGCUGGGGUGGAGGAAAGCGCCGGCUGCAAGAGCUGGGUCAGGCCCCCGCGCGGGGAGCGGCCGCGGUGCAGCGCCCUUCCAUCCCUCCCAGGAGCUGCUGCGGGCCGGGCCACCCGCACGUGAGUGUCACCGCAGCGCCCCGUUAGAGACAACCAGCACGGGCUGGUGUUGGCAUCUGCGAGUAACUUGCGUACGCUGAGCUGAUCCGCUCGGCCGAGGAGGCGCCGCUCGGAGCUGUCUGGUUCAGUACCGAUUCCUUACCCCUUACUAAAGUGGUAGUAAAUUGUUUUCCAGUGGAUGUCACAACCGGUCUGCUGAAAACAUCUGGGAUGUUUAGUUGGGUUCAGGAGUUUAAUGCUGCUGCCGGCGUUGAGACUUUUGAUACCAAAUGGGUUUUUACAAAAGCUUUGGAUACUCGUUUUUACUGUCCAACAGACAUUCUGACUUUAUUAUGAAUGCUUUGUGUACGUUUCACGAGCGUUUUCCAAGUGUUUGUAUGGUUUCUACAGCUGAAUAUCCUGUACGUUCUGCUUUGUCAUUUUCUAUUAUGGUUUAUACUGUACUGCAGGCAAGGACUGCAUUAAAACCAUUUUUGGCUAAUUUAUUAUACAUGUGAAUGGUUAUUUCCUAUGACUUAGCC